UACAGAGGUCUCAAGCGUUGUUCGGAUUCAUUGGGCGUAAAGGGUGCGUAGGCGGCGCGGUAAGUCGGGGUGUGAAAAUCUCGGGGCUUAACUCCGAAAACUGCAUUCGAUACUGCCGUGCUUGAGGACUGGAGAGGAGACUGGAAUUUUACGGUGUAGCGGUGAAAAUGCGUAGAUAUCGUAAGGAAGACCAGUGGCGAAGGCGGGGUCUCUGGACA
rnacentral:rRNA from 1 species